rnacentral:rRNA from 1 species
UACGUAGGGGGCAAGCGUUGUCCGGAAUCAUUGGGCGUAAAGAGCGUGUAGGCGGCUCGGUAAGUCCGCUGUGAAAGUCCAGGGCUCAACCCUGGAAUGCCGGUGGAAACUGUCCAGCUAGAGUCCGGAAGAGGCGAGUGGAAUUCCUGGUGUAGCGGUGAAAUGCGCAGAUAUCAGGAGGAACACCGGUGGCGAAGGCGGUUCUCUGGGACUGUCCUGACGCUGAGGAGCGAAAGUGUGGGGAGCGAACAGG